rnacentral:rRNA from 1 species
GACGAACGCUGGCGGCGUGCCUAAUACAUGCAAGUCGAACGCUGAAGCGAGGAGCUUGCUCUUCUUGGGUGAGUUGCGAACGGGUGAGUAACGCGUAGGUAACCUGCCUUGCAGCGGGGGAUAACUAGUGGAAACGAUAGCUAAUACCGCAUAACAAUGGGUGACCCAGGUGAGUUAUUUGAAAGGGGCAAAUGCUCCACUACAAGAUGGACCUGCGUUGUAUUAGCGAGUAGGUGAGGUAACGGCGCACCUAGGCGACGAUACAUAGCCGACCUGAGAGGGUGGUCGGCCACACUGGGACGGUGACACGGCCCAGACUCCUACGGGAGGCAGCAGUAGGGAAUCUUCGGCAAUGGGGGCGACCCUGACCGAGCAACGCCGCGGGAGUGAAGAAGGGUGUCGGGUCGGAAAGCUCUGUUGUAAGUCAAGAACGAGUGUGAGAGUGGAAAGUUCACACUGUGACGGUAGCUUACCAGAAAGGGACGGCUAACUACGUG